GGGCCUAUUUUCAGGUCAGCAAAUGCUUAUCUCAGAAAGUUGUUUUGAGAAUUAAAUGAAAUGUGUGAAAAGCAUAUAUUAUCAUUAUCAUUAUUAUUGAGCUCC
rnacentral:snoRNA from 1 species